rnacentral:lncRNA from 1 species
CAGUCUCAGGUUCCGCUCGAUUGGAUUGGGGCAGACGCUGUGUUCCACUCACCAGAGAUCUUAGGAUCCCAUGGGGAAUCCUGUGUGUGCCCUUGCGGGUGUCGGGAGACUCUACUAGCAAGUGAUCCUGAUUGGAAUUUUUAUUCAUGUAAAUUACUGUCUGACAUCUAGCUAUGAAGAUCACAUCUUAAAAUGCAAGGAUGAUGCAGAGAGAAUGAAUUAGAAGUACAUCCCAAGGCCUGCCCCAGAAGCCAAAUUCCUUCAGCAAUGUUGUAACACCGGAACCUUACCAAUCAGCACCAUCAAACAACUGUUUAAACUCCAGAGACUAAGGGAAUAUUUCUUAGUC